GACGAACGCUGGCGGCGUGCUUAACACAUGCAAGUCGAACGGAAAGGCCCUGCUUUUGUGUGGUGCUCGAUUGGCGAACGGGUGAGUAACACGUGAGUAACCUGCCCUUGACUUUGUGAUAACUUCAGGAAACUGCGGCUAAUACCGGAUAGGAUCUCCUGCUGCAUGGUGUGGGUUGGAAAGUUUCGGCGGUUGGGGAUGGACUCGCGGCUUAUCAGCUUGUUGGUGGGGUAGUGGCUUACCAAGGCUUUGACGGGUAGCCGGCCUGAGAGGGUGAACGGCCACAUUGGGACUGAGAGACGGACCAGACUCCAACGGGAGGCAGCAGUGGGGAACAUUGCACAAUGGGGGGACGCCUGAUGCAGAGACGCCGCGUGCGGGAUGACGGCCUUCGGGUUGUAAACCGCUUUCGACUGUGACGAAGCGUGAGUGACGGUAAUGGGUAAAGAAGCACCGGCUAACUACGUG
rnacentral:rRNA from 1 species